UACGGAGGGUGCGAGCGUUGUCCGGAAUCACUGGGCGUAAAGGGCGCGUAGGCGGCUUGUCGCGUCGACUGUGAAAACCCGCGGCUCAACUGCGGGCCUGCAGCCGAUACGGGCAGGCUAGAGUUCGGUAGGGGAGACUGGAAUUCCUGGUGUAGCGGUGAAAUGCGCAGAUAUCAGGAGGAACACCGAUGGCGAAGGCAGGUCUCUGGGCCGACACUGACGCUCAUGCACGAAAGCGUGGGGAGCAAACAGG
rnacentral:rRNA from 1 species